rnacentral:rRNA from 1 species
UACGUAGGGGGCAAGCGUUGUCCGGAAUCAUUGGGCGUAAAGCGCGUGUAGGCGGCUCGAUAAGUCUGUUCUGAAAGUCCAGGGCUCAACCCUGGGAUGCGGAUGGAUACUGUCGAGCUCGAGUCCGGAAGAGGCGAGUGGAAUUCCUGGUGUAGCGGUGAAAUGCGCAGAUAUCAGGAGGAACACCUGAGGUGAAGACGGGUUGCUGGGCUGACACUGACGCUGAGGCGCGAAAGCCAGGGGAGCAAACGGG